UGACGAGUGGCGGACGGGUGAGUAAUGCUUGGGAACUUGCCUUUGCGAGGGGGAUAACAGUUGGAAACGACUGCUAAUACCGCAUAAUGUCUUCGGACCAAACGGGGCUUUUAGCUCCGGCGCAAAGAGAGGCCCAAGUGAGAUUAGCUAGUUGGUAAGGUAACGGCUUACCAAGGCGACGAUCUCUAGCUGUUCUGAGAGGAAGAUCAGCCACACUGGGACUGAGACACGGCCCAGACUCCUACGGGAGGCAGCAGUGGGGAAUAUUGCACAAUGGGGGAAACCCUGAUGCAGCCAUGCCGCGUGUGUGAAGAAGGCCUUCGGGUUGUAAAGCACUUUCAGUUGUGAGGAAAAGUUAGUAGUUAAUACCUGCUAGCCGUGACGUUAACAACAGAAGAAGCACCGGCUAACUCCGUGCCAGCAGCCGCGGUAAUACGGAGGGUGCGAGCGUUAAUCGGAAUUACUGGGCGUAAAGCGCACGCAGGCGGUUUGUUAAGCUAGAUGUGAAAGCCCCGGGCUCAACCUGGGAUGGUCAUUUAGAACUGGCAGACUAGAGUCUUGGAGAGGGGAGUGGAAUUCCAGGUGUAGCGGUGAAAUGCGUAGAUAUCUGGAGGAACAUCAGUGGCGAAGGCGACUCCCUGGCCAAAGACUGACGCUCAUGUGCGAAAGUGUGGGUAGCGAACAGGAUUAGAUACCCUGGUAGUCCACACCGUAAACGCUGUCUACUAGCUGUGUGUGCCUUUAAGGCGUGCGUAGCGAAGCUAACGCGCUAAGUAGACCGCCUGGGGAGUACGGCCGCAAGGUUAAAACUCAA
rnacentral:rRNA from 1 species